GCAGCUGAAUGACUGGGAGUGGUGGAGUCAGGAUCCACCCCUUCCUAGCCCUCAUUUAAGGGUUGACAGUGGAAGGAAGGGCAUCUCUUGAUGGAGGUCUUUGUAGAAUCUGUGCCCUUCUGAAGAGAUAUGCUGAAAUACUGUCUGCUGUGAAGAGAAAUUACCUGGAGAAGUUGCUGUCAGCAGGCUGAUGUCCUUCUUUUCUUAUACAAAGGAUUUCAACAACCUUGUUGCAUGGGACUGAAAAAGCAAAUAAGUUAGAAGAGAUCAAGGUCAGCUGAGAAACUUCUGAUGAAAUAUCUCUGUACAUGAGAAGCACUUGAAGGUAACCUUGGAAUGAGAAACGCAUCCAAGAUUCAACAACCUCAUUAAACUUGAUACUUGGACUUGAAGAGCACCAAUGUUUAAGCUCCUUGUUUGCGUCAGGCCUCUGGUGCUUCAGCUCUAGGAACAUCGGAUAUCGGCUGCAAACUUAAGAAGCAGCUGGAUGUAAGUGAUGUGCCCUGUAAUAUGUUCAAAGCUGCUUGUACUGUAACACUCCUGUGUCAAAGAAACUGCUAAUUUUUUUUGCUCCAAGUCUUUCGAUGAUUUGUUUAUCUGGGAAUUGCCCAGUCUAUUUAUACUGAGGCUUUGGUUUUGAGGAACUGUAAGGGCUGGGCUUUAUUUUGUCCUAUUUUUUUUCUCUAGGUGUAGUAUACAAGCUUUUCAUUUUGUGUUUGUGGUAAGAUAUUGCUUGAGAAUGUUUGUACUGGACUAGUUCUGGAGUUCCAACUGCCUGUGGAAAUAACACAUGCUGUAAUGCUGUUAUACUGUGAUUAUAAUAUACGCUUUAGAUGUUGUAAUUAUUCUAUUUUACAAUGUGUCUCCCUUAAGAUCAGUGAAGUAAUGUAAUUCAGAACUGCUAGGGUUUCUGAAGCCAUCUAAAGGCUCUAGAUGAGUAGACCAGCUCCUGGAAGUCAUUUUCAUGGGAGAUAUGUUAGAUAUUAAGUGAUGAGAAAGCUGCUGGCAGCUGCUAAUGUUUGGGGAAUGGGCUAUAUAAUAUAUGUGACAGGGUUUAAAGAGCCCAAGGAUAGCAUUUUCAUAAUGAUAGGGAAGGAAACUUCAUACCUCCAACUCCUCAGUAUUCCUAUGGGAAGUGUUUUUGGUUGUUAAAGUGUUUUGUCAUAGUUCUGACUGUGAUUCUUCCACCAGGAAGAGAGGUGGAGUGGUUGGAUAUGUUUGUAGCAUGCCUGGCUAUUAUGUAAAACUACUUUUUUUCCUUAUGCAUUCCUUGAAGAAAUUCUUAUGAAGUUUCUAUGUAAUAAGCGUUGUUAUUAAUCAUAAUGAAUUGUUUGUAAUGCUUUGAAAACUAAGUAAAAUCACCUCUGGGACAUCACUAGUAUUGCUUCUACACAUACAUGACGGUGCUAUGCUGAUGCAACCUAUCUGACUAAAGUGAAAUAACGCUUUCUCUGUACUGUUUAGAGUGCAGGCAUUAAUCAUGCUUAAUUUCUACACCUAAUCCUAAAGUUAGGAACAAGUAUGUAUUGCUUUGGCUGGUUAUCUUGAGCAACAGAUGAGUUUCUUGUAGAACCAAUAUUGCAAAAUGAGAAACACCAUCCUGGAUGUUUUGCUGCACUGUCACUGUGACUGAGGAAUCCGUUGAAGACAUAGAAGUGGAUUGCUGCUUGUGGUGUACUGGUAUGUAGCACUGAUCUGCAGCAGGAACUCAGUUACUAAAAUCUUGGUGAGAAUGCCAAUGGCUGCGCUAAUGGAAGCACAGAGAAGAGUGUCAAAAUGAUCAAAACACUUCCAGUUCUGUUUUAAUAACCUAAUAAAUUUUAGUAGCAGAUACUGUUUGGGGGGAGGGGAAAGGAACUCCAAGGGAUGUUUUUCCAGAGGUUAAUGUUAUUGAAAUUUGGGGAAAUAAUUUCCCUACUCCCAAUCUUCUGAGCAGAAGCUCUUGCACAACAGACAGUGGAUUGAGUUCCCCAAAGUUUAAUGCCAGAGUUAAAUGAAAGCCCAGAGACAAAAGUCUGUCACAGCUUCCAAAGCUGUACUUCUGAUUCAUCCUGUUUUCUAAUUAACUGUUCUGAGGACACUGAUCCUAAAGCAGAAUUUGAGCUUGAAAGUGCUAUAAUUUAAAAUUUCAGUUGAGAUAGUGGAUACAUUUCUAUUGCAUACGUAGUGUUCAAGACUAAUAGGCUUGUGAUUUUUUUUUUUUCCUACCCAUGAUGGUAAGUUUUUUUUUUUUUUUUAGCAGAAACUUUUAGCCUUUAUAUUUUACUCCAUUGCCACUGUUCUCUAUAGGGCAGUAGUAUAAAUUAUACAAAACAGGUUAUUUCUAUCUGUGGUAUUAGAUCUACAGAAUUUAUUAAUGCAAUGGUAUGCUGUGUCAGUGUCAAUCUGGUUAUUUUUCCCUACCUCUUAGUAAAUACCUGAGUGGUUGAAUCCAGAUACAGAGUUAAAUAGCUAAAAUCUCUUGUCUGGGAAUUGAUCACGCUGAAUGACCAGGCAAAAGAAAGUCCUGAGUUUGCGGAAUAAAAAAACAACAUGUUAAAAGAA